GCCAGGCGUGGUGAUGCACACCUGUAAUCCUAGCUACUCUGGAGGCUGAGGCAGGAGGAUUGCAAGUUCAAAGCCAGCCUUAGCAAUUUGUCGAGGCCCUAAGCAACUUAGCGAGACCCUGUCUCAA
rnacentral:sRNA from 1 species